UACGUAGGGGGCAAGCGUUGUCCGGAAUCAUUGGGCGUAAAGAGCGUGUAGGCGGUCCGAUAAGUCCGCUCUGAAAGCCCCUGGCUCAACUGGGGAAGUGCACCCGAAACUGAGUAGCUUGAGUGCAAAAGAGGGCCGCGGAAUUCCCGGUGUAGAGGUGAAAUUCGUAGAUAUCGGGAGGAACACCGGUGGCGAAGGCGGUUCUCUGGGCCUUACCUGACGCUGAGGAGCGAAAGCGUGGGGAGCGAACAGG
rnacentral:rRNA from 1 species